rnacentral:rRNA from 2 species
GUGACCUCGGAUCAGGUAGGAAUACCCGCUGAACUUAAGCAUAUC